rnacentral:rRNA from 1 species
GACAUAGGUCGCGAACGUUAUCCGGAAUUAUUGGGCGUAAAGGAUGCGUAGAUGGUUCGGUAAGUUACUGAUGGGAAAUCGAGGCCCAACCUCGUGGAAGUUAGUAAUACUGUCGAGCUUGAGUGCAGGAGAGGUUAACGGAACUUCAUGUGGAGCGGUAAAAUGCGUAGAUAUAUGAAAGAACAUCAAUAUAGCGAAGGCAGUUAACUAUUCUGCUACUGACAUUGAGGCAUGAAAGCGUGGGGAGCAAAACGG